rnacentral:tRNA from 1 species
GGACUUAUAGCUUAAUUGGAUAGAGCACCUGACUACGGAUCAGGAGGUUGGGGGUUCGACUCCCUCUAAGUCCA